UCUGCAGCAGUAGACAAUCCACAAACCAAAAUAAUCAUUUUUUUAACCAUAAAACUGGAAAUGCUUUUUCCAAUUCCUGUCUUACGACUUCUCUAAGAAUAAUACAGCUGUUUAGCUAUUUAAUGGGGGAAGUACGGUCUUUAAACCGAUGCUUUGUGCGGACACCGGAGUCCGUUGCUCCGGUUGCUAGGACACAACACUGCGCUUCUUGUAAUACAACCUCCUGGGUCCAACUGGUCCAGGCUUAGGUCUGGCCCUGACCCAGCUGGGAGAAUUCAAGAUUUAUUUAUGCUGUGGCAGCAGAAUAAGGCAGUUACUCAUGACGACUUUUCUACACAGGACAAACAGCAGCCUGUCAGCCACCGCCAGUGAGUCGGACUUAACAUCGUUGGGAGAAAAGCUGAUUCUGUCUCUUGUUCUUAUGAAAAGAAACGUAUAUCCAGAAUUCAGCCAGAAAACAAAUUUUAUACGUCUAUGAGUUGAAAGAAUGAAUGGAUGAGAUUAUUUCAAAUGGAAUCCGAGCACUUGUGAGCAGUGUCGGCAGGUGGGGAAGGUAAUGCAAAGGCAGUUCUCUAUAGACAGCUCGUGCCUUGUUGUCUCACCAGCCACAGUAACAUACAUGGUACGCCUCAUCUUACUGGCAGCAUACUAUUCCACUCUGUGAUUCAUGUAAUUAUCAUAUAAACUUUAUUUCCAA